ensembl:lncRNA
GCCAAUUAGUCGUCAAGCAGGACUAAAACCACGCAGCUCGGGUAGUGCAGAUGCAGGCAGCACUCUGCAACUGGAAAAACACCAGGCACCGUGUAAUUAAGUGUCUCCUGCAUGCUCACCCCACCUGGCUGGCCUGGGAAUUGCUGCAGGAGGCUUCCCACGCUGCGGGGAUGGGCACUGCUGGGAUGGUACCACCAGGCUGGGUACCACUGUGCUGGGCAGUGUUGGGGUGGGUACUGUCAGGAUGGAUGCUGAGAUAGAUAGCAGCAGGAUGGCUGCCUUUAGGCUGGGUAUCACCACGAUGGGUACUGCCAGGAUGGAUACCUCCAGGGUGGGUACCUAUGGGAUGGUGCCUUUGGGGUGGAUGCCACCAGAAUGGAUACCAGGAUGGGUACCACCAGGAUGGGUGUCAUUAGACUGAUACCAUUGGGAUAGGUACCACUGAGAUGGAUAUUAGUAUGGGUUACACUGCGUUGGGUGCCACCAGGAUGGGUACCAUUAGACUGUACCAUUGGGAUGGGUACCAGCAGGAUGGACACUGGGAUGGGUACCAUUAGGCUGGUUCCACUGGGAUAGGUACCUCCAGGAUGAGUACUGGGAUGGGUACUGCCAGGAUGGAUACUGAGAUGGGUACCAUAAGGUUGGUACCAUUGGGAUGGAUGCUAUAAGGGUGGGUACUGGGAUGGGUACCACCAGGAUGGAUACUGGGGUUGAUACCAUUGGGAUGGGUGCUAUAAGGAUGGGUACUGGGAUGGGUACCACCAGGAUGGAUACUGGGGUUGGUACCAUUGGGAUGGGUGCUAUAAGGAUGGGUACUGGGAUGGGUACCACCAGGAUGGCUGCCGAUCUCACUGUGCCUCAGUCUUUCCCAUGGAGAUGAGAUGCCCCCGGGUGACUCCAUCUCUCAGCAGCGAGUGACCUAUUUUGGAUCCUAAGGAGCAGCACAAACACAGGCUCUGGCAGGAGAGCUUUGAGCAAUCCCUGCUGCAGGGCUGCGAGGGUAAUUGCGGUGUCUGACGGACAUGGGCAGGAGGAGGUGCGGUAUCGGCUUAGGCUGGGCGUGAAGCCCCAUGCAAAUUUUUAAUUGCAUUUUUAAUGCAGCAGCUUAGGAUCCAACACGAUCACAAACACAAACAGGGGCAGGUGACCGAAGCCUCCGAUCCUGCUCUGCAGGUAGGAGUGUCUGCUGAGCUCCGUGAUGGAGAAAUGCAAAAGGCCUUUUCCUCCUUGGUGUCUGACCUGAUUAUACCUGAAAAAUAGGGGCUUCUACUUGAAACAGAAAUGCAUUUUGAGCAUUGUUUCUCCAGCUUGAUUCUGUGGGCUCCAAUAGGAUCCCUGCUGGGCACUUCUGCAGCGGCAGCUGAUAUCUCUGGAGAGCUGAGUAACUUCCAGCAAAUGAGUGCCUUGCAUUUGAGGUGAUGGAAAACAUGCAGAGGGGUUUGGGGCUGCAUUUGUACAGUGUUUUGGGGUGAGGACCUGGGGCAGAGCGCAUGGAAGGGCUCCUCUGUGAUGGGGAUCCAACUGUGUGCAACCUGGCUGAGGUUUAGAGUAUGGUGAUGGUCUGAGUGUGUGAGAGCAAUGCCAGCUCAGCAUCGGGUCACAGAGAAGCCCCGAGGAGUCCUUAUGGGGCAGCGAUGGCUGUGGCCACUUGGGCUGGAAUGGGGAAUGGAAGGAGUGAAGGACGGGGGUGCACAGCCCCCACACAGCCCUCCCAGCUGCUCUGUGGUGCUGUGGGCAGGGAACGUGGCUGGGUACUGUGAUGGGGCACGAGGGACGUGACGCCAGGGGGCUGUGGGGAUGCAAAGUGCUGGGAGGAGAUGGGGCAUUUUCUCUUCCUUUGGUUACAUGUGGAUGAACGCAGUGAUUGGAACCAGAGGCCCUGGGGGAAGGAGUUCCCUGUGGGUCUGGAAGCAAAGAAACCCUGUCCUGAAGAGGUGGGGUCAGUGCUGGGUGUGCUCCGAUCCCCAUGGGAUGCCCACAGCACUGCAAUGCCUGCCGCAGGGUGGUCCGGGCGCAUCCAGAGCUGCACAUCCCAGAGCUUCCCUUUGGCAUCCGCUGAAACUAUUUCCUCUGUCUGAAGGAAUCCAGAUGGAAACCAUCUGCUCGUUCCUGUGUCCCUCAGCCCCACAUCUCCUCCUGCAUCCCCUAGACGUGCAUCUGUGGUCCUGCACCUCCUUGUCCUGCGUUAUAGAUGUGUGCGCACACACAUGUGCCAAG